rnacentral:rRNA from 1 species
GAUGAACGCUAGCGGCAGGCCUAAUACAUGCAAGUCGGACGGGAUCCAUUGAUAGCUUGCUAUCAAUGGUGAGAGUGGCGCACGGGUGCGUAACGCGUGAGCAACCUGCCUCCAUCAGGGGGAUAGCCUCUCGAAAGAGAGAUUAACACCGCAUAAUAUCAACAGUUCGCAUGUUCAGUUGAUUAAAUAUUUAUAGGAUGGAGAUGGGCUCGCGUGACAUUAGCUAGUUGGUAGGGUAACGGCUUACCAAGGCGACGAUGUCUAGGGGCUCUGAGAGGAGAAUCCCCCACACUGGUACUGAGACACGGACCAGACUCCUACGGGAGGCAGCAGUAAGGAAUAUUGGUCAAUGGGCGGAAGCCUGAACCAGCCAUGCCGCGUGCAGGAUGACUGCCCUAUGGGUUGUAAACUGCUUUUGUCCAGGAAUAAACCUAAAUACGAGUAUUUAGCUGAAUGUACUGGAAGAAUAAGAAUCGGCUAACUCCGUG